rnacentral:rRNA from 1 species
GCGGACGGGUUAGUAACGCGUGGGAAUAUACCCUUUGGUACGGAAUAGCCUCUGGAAACGGAGAGUAAUACCGUAUGAGCCCUUCGGGGGAAAGAUUUAUCGCCAAAGGAUUAGCCCGCGUUAGAUUAGGUAGUUGGUGGGGUAAUGGCCUACCAAGCCUACGAUCUAUAGCUGGUUUUAGAGGAUGAUCAGCAACACUGGGACUGAGACACGGCCCAGACUCCUACGGGAGGCAGCAGUGGGGAAUCUUGGACAAUGGGGGCAACCCUGAUCCAGCCAUGCCGCGUGAGUGAUGAAGGCCUUAGGGUCGUAAAGCUCUUUCGCCUGUGAAGAUAAUGACGGUAGCAGGUAAAGAAACCCCGGCUAACUCCGUGCCAGCAGCCGCGGUAAUACGGAGGGGGUUAGCGUUGUUCGGAAUUACUGGGCGUAAAGCGCACGUAGGCGGACUGGAAAGUUGGGGGUGAAAUCCCAGGGCUCAACCCUGGAACUGCCUCCAAAACUAUCAGUCUAGAGUUCGAGAGAGGUGAGUGGAAUUCCGAGUGUAGAGGUGAAAUUCGUAGAUAUUCGGAGGAACACCAGUGGCGAAGGCGGCUCACUGGCUCGAUACUGACGCUGAGGUGCGAAAGUGUGGGGAGCAAACAGGAUUAGAUACCCUGGUAGUCCACACCGUAAACGAUGAAUGCCAGUCGUCGGGUAGCAUGCUAUUCGGUGACACACCUAACGGAUUAAGCA